UACGAAGGGUGCAAGCGUUACUCGGAAUUACUGGGCGUAAAGCGUGCGUAGGUGGUUCGUUAAGUCUGAUGUGAAAGCCCUGGGCUCAACCUGGGAAUGGCAUUGGAAACUGGCGACCUAGAGUGCGGUAGAGGGUAGUGGAAUUCCCGGUGUAGCAGUGAAAUGCGUAGAGAUCGGGAGGAACAUCUGUGGCGAAGGCGACUGCCUGGACCAGCACUGACACUGAGGCACGAAAGCGAGUGGAGCAAACGGG
rnacentral:rRNA from 1 species